rnacentral:misc_RNA from 1 species
GUUUAUUGGGGAAUGAUUUUAAAAUUGUAUACUACUGAUGGACUGGGUUGGCACCCAUAAAUUUGUUCUUGAAGAGAAUGGAUCGUAAUGCAAGUAUUCUGUGGAGGGAAAAAUUACUUCUGUAGUCUAUCAAUUUUACAAGCUGAAUCACACAAUAGUUAGAGAAAUCUGUUCAUUCUUAAUGCUUGUAUCAGAAUGAAGAUGUAAAAUGGACCUGGGAUU